AUGGUGGACAGACAGACAGCGGCCCGGGAGCCGGCGGGGCUGUGCCGGGGAGGGGAGGCAGUAGCGCCAGGCUCUCCCCGCAGAGGUGGACGGGCACUGAACGGGCUCCCCGGGGACCCCUUGAAAGUCACAAAGUUCCCUGGUCCAGGCAGCGCUGACUCAGCAGCCAUCCUCUCUGUCAGCCAAGUGAAGGAGUCCGGAGACAGCGUCAGGAUCACCUGCUCUGGGAUUAGCAGCAGCUAUCCUUAUGCUGGCUGGUACCAGCAGAAGGUCCCUGGCAGUGCCCCUGUCACUGUGAUCUAUGCUAAUGACAAGAGACCCUCGGGCAUCCCUUCGCGAUUCUCCGGAUCCUUGUCUGGCUCCACGGCCACGUUAACCAUCACUGGGGUCCAAGCCGAGGACGAGGCUGUCUAUUUCUGUGGUAGCUAUGACAGCAUCAGUGGCAACUAUGGUGUAUGGUGA